GGCUUGUGUCCUGUGAUAACUCAGACAAUAUGUAGUAUAUGUUGAGAUAUAUAUAUGUGGAUUGGCUAGCCCGCGUACACCUCGGAGGCCAUGGCUGACCUCGACCGCCUCGUCGCCGGCAACCUCGAGGCCUUCUUCGCCGGCGCGCCGCUGCUGACACCCGUCCUCGAGGUCUUCGGCUGAUCGUGCGGAGGUCGUCAACAAAAUUUGAGCUUGGAAUUGAAAGGGUCGUGAGUCUUUGUACGGUGGGUUGGGAAGAGGAAAAACUCGUAGAAUGUAAAAUUUUCUGCCGGAGUUCUUCAGAUCGUGACCUUCCUGCGAGCUGAAAUGUUUGGAUCACUGCCAUUAAUUUCCAGCGCGAUGUCGUCUUCUUACACAGCCGUGUGUCCUCCACCACACACCGUGUCUGCUCUGGUGGCUUUACUCUCUCUGUCCCUCCAAACGUUUCAAGCCAGACAAAUUGCUUCUCGCCGGACUGAUUGCCAAGAUCAUAAUGGAGAACAUGACGCCACCGCCACCGACCAACGACGAGAGGCCGCUGGUGCUCCUGGCGCAGCCGCUCUUCCCGGACUUCGCCGCCGCGCUCGCCGGCCGCUUCCGGUUCGCUCUGGCCGCUGACGCGGACGCGGGUGACACGGCCGAGGGAAGGGUGCUGCUCGUGGGGGUAAAGCCUGUUACGGACGAGCACCUGGCCGUGUUCCCGGCGCUCGAGCUCGUGGCGGGCAUCUCUGUGGGCGUCGACCACGUCGAUCUUGCCGCCUGCCGGCGCCGUGGGCUCAGCGUGACCAACGCUGGUGCCGCGUUCGCCAUCGACUCGGCCGACUACGCCGUCGGUCUCGUCAUCGCCGCGGUCCGAAGGGUGGCUGCUGCCGAGGCGUAUGUCCGCGGCGGCAGGUGGCCGGCCGACGGGGAUUACCCUCUCACCACCAAGUAGAAGCUGUCAAAUUGAGCGGAAUCAGUGGCGAGGGAUGCUGGAUGUUCAAAAGACUGCAUCCUCCAGAACAAUAUAUGGAAGGACAUCAGAUUGUCUUCACAAGCACGGAUGUGCAAAAUGCCUUUGCAGUACAGCGACAUCCAUUCACUACACAACUGUACAGGCUCCAUAAGACGGGGAUUAGCCAUCAGGCAAGGCUGAGUAGACAACCCGGCGGGCUCUGGGAUUAUUUGAUCACCACCACGGUAUGGUUCUGGAGUGAUUGCAUUUAUUCAUUAAAGAUCUUGAACUUCACACUCCUAAUUGGUUCAUCACAUAAGGAACCUUCUCUAGCACCCCACUGAAACCUGUGGUUAGGGCAAUAAAUAAAAUGGCUCUGACAAAGAUUCUGAAUGAAUUUUGGAUCAACAGAACAGCGGAGUACCCUAAUCUUGGACAAUAUAUGACUGCAUUCAGCAAGUUCUUAUCCGCCUCUACCGAAAGAGUCAUACAGUAUAAUGUUAGGUACCUCUAUGUCAAAGUAAGAUAUGUUCAGUCCACAAAAUGGUGAGAUUAUGUAAUACGGAUGAAACUAUAAACUAUUGAUCUGGUGGAAAUUUUGUGGCAAAAUAGGUCAAAAGAUACCUGAAAUCUAUUUGAAACUACUAACAUCAUCCUUCUGGUGAUUAAUGCCAUGAUCGUUCUUAUUUCUUUUAGCUCCUUCUGCUGAGCUUUGGUCAGCAUGGCAAGCCACACAAAGGUCCUCACAUUCUCUAGUGUAAAUUCUCCUCCCAGAAACAAGAAAAAAAAAACAUAGAAAAUAUAAACGUACUGUACUUCCUCUUUUAUAUACAUGUAUUAUGUGGUAUGUAUCAGUAUGCCAUGAAUUUCCAUCUUUUGGCUCAUGCACAAGCUUUUCUAGGAUGUGGUCCAGUAAAGUAUUAAAGAAGAUUAGAAGACAAACAAUCCACAUGAAACAAUGAUAACAACCAUUUCAGUUUUCA